rnacentral:tRNA from 1 species
UCAGAGAGACUGGAUUUGAACCAGUGACCUUCGACUCCCUAUGCCGACGCGCUACCAACUGCGCUACACUCUG